GAGGCUAUAGCUCAAGUGGUAGAGCACACGCUUGGCAUGCACAAGGUCCUGGGUGCAAUUCCCAGUACCUCU
rnacentral:tRNA from 1 species